ACUUAAAUUGAAGAGUUUGAUCAUGGCUCAGAUUGAACGCUGGCGGCAGGCCUAACACAUGCAAGUCGAGCGGUAGCACAGAGAGCUUGCUCUCGGGUGACGAGCGGCGGACGGGUGAGUAAUGUCUGGGAAACUGCCUGAUGGAGGGGGAUAACUACUGGAAACGGUAGCUAAUACCGCAUAAUGUCGCAAGACCAAAGUGGGGGACCUUCGGGCCUCAUGCCAUCAGAUGUGCCCAGAUGGGAUUAGCUAGUAGGUGGGGUAACGGCUCACCUAGGCGACGAUCCCUAGCUGGUCUGAGAGGAUGACCAGCCACACUGGAACUGAGACACG
rnacentral:rRNA from 1 species